AAUGAUUAUUAUAAAACAAUAAUAAAUAAUUAUCAUUAUUAAUAAUUAUUAAUUCAUUAUCAUCAAACUUAGAAUAUUUACAGAUUCCACCGUUUAUGGAUUUACGUUUUUGGCGGGAAAAUUACGGGUUUUCGUUUUUGGCGGAAAAAUCACGGAUUUACGUUUUUGGCGGGAAAAUUACAGGUUUACGUUUUUGGUGGGAAAAUCACGGGUUUACGUUUUUGGCGGGAAAAUCACGGGUUUUCGUUUUUGGCGGGAAAAUUACAUGUUUACGUUUUUGGCGGGAAAAUCACGCGUUUACGUUUUUGGCGGGAAAAUCACGGGUUUUCGUUUUUGGCGGGAAAAUCACGGGUUUUCGUUUUUGGCGGGAAAAUCAUGGGUUUUCGUUUUUGGCGGGAAAAUCAUGGGUUUUCGUUUUUUGCGGGAAAUCACGGGUUUACGUUUUUUGCGGAAAAAUCACGGAUUUACGUUUUUGGCGGGAAAAUCGCGGGUUUAUGUUUUUUUGUGGAAAAAUUACGAGUUUACUUUUUCUCAAUUCAUCGCUUGUAUAUUUAAGAAAUUUGGAAAAAUAUUGAUUUUAUUAGAUUGGUUUAGAUGUGUUGGUUAAACUUAAAUUGGCAUUGAUUUAGAGAUUUUAGUUGGUUUAAUUCAAUUUUACAAAACUUGAUGGGUUAAUUGGGUAAACCAUUGAAACCAUUAACCAUUACAACCCAACUCAUUUUACAUUAAAGAUAACAUUUAUUUUAAACAUAAAUAAUCGUAAAUAAGU
rnacentral:sRNA from 1 species